UUUUGUGUAUUCAUGAGAGACACAGAGAGAGUGAGAGGCAGAGACACAGGCAGAGGGAAAAGCAGGCUCCCUCUGGGGAGCCCUAAGUAGGACUCUAUCCCAGGACCACAGGAUCAUGCCCUGAGUCCAAGGCAGAUGGUUAACCACUGGGAAACCCAGCCAUCCCCAUUUAGACAAUUUUUCAAUGCAUAUUCUUACUGAGGUCUGAGGAUUCACAAAUGAAGACAUGCUUUUAGACCUUGCGGAGCUUUAGAAAUUAUCUAAUGUGCUGUGGAGUCACAACAGACCUGAACAUUUGAAAUUUGGGCUAAAACAAGUACUAAGUAAGGAGGCCCGCUAUUUUCAGAAAGUUCUACAGAGGUGGCAAUAUUUGAUUAAGAAGUAUGUGGGGGAUUGCUGUAGGGAAAGUGCUAGAAGCAGGGCUGGGCAAGUGUCGGGGACAUCCAGGUGAGAGAGGAAAUGGCACAGCUAUCUGAAACCUGCAGGAAUGUUCAGGUGGGAGGUGACAGAUUCCAGGUGCCUGGAUUAGAGGAAUAUUGCUAUACUGCCAGAAAAGGAGGCUGGAGAAGUAAGUUUCAGCAAACAGUGAUAAGUCCGGAGUAGCCCUAAACCAUGGGGACUCAGACUCUGUCUCUAUGAUACAGAGGGCAGAAACACAGACUAGGUAUGAAGAGCACAGACUAUGGUGUCAGACUGCCUAAGUCUGAACGGGCCACUGAGUAGCCAGUAGCUUUGGAAAAGUUGCUUAUUCCUUCUAUGCCUCAGUUAACUGACAAAUGGGGAUAUUACUGCUACUUAGUUCAUUGGAUUAUUACGGAAAUUAUGUAAGUUUUGCAAAGUGUCCAAGACCUUAUCUUUUAAAUAGCAGAAGCUAUUAAAUGAAUGUCACGUGCAGAUUGGAGCAGGAAGAUUCUAGGGGUGCUUGGGUGGCUCAGUGGGUUAAGCAUCUGCCUUUGGCUUAGGUCAUGAUCCUGGGGCUCUGGGAUCCAGCCCCAUAUUGGGCUCCCAGAUCAGUGAGGAUUCUCUCUCUCUCUCUCAAUCUCAAUCUCUCUCUCCCUUAUCUCUUUCUCUCUCUCUCUCUCUCUCUCAAAUAAAUAAAAUCUUUUUUUUUUGAAAGAAAGAUUCUAGAUGAUGAGUCCUGAAAUGUAGCAGUGGCAAAAAAGAUAGGGAAGGGCGGAAUAUGUGCUCGUUCCAACUGUAGCCAUGUUCUGUAUGAGACAGUUCUUUCUCAUGACAAAACAAAAUCUCUUCCCCUUCAUGCAAAGAACUCAAGUUCUAUUUGUGGGUCCUAGUCCUGCCUGUCCCCCAACAGACACUUAGAUGUAAUAAAAAUUCAGGUGUUAUGAUGUCUUGUAGAUUAUACCUUUUUUAAUUUUGAAAAAGAAUAUUCUAAGAUGAAAGACUUUGACAUUUAACUCAUGGAUAGUCUUCAGCAAGAGAACAAGAUGAGAAAUGCUAUUGAAUACUUAUGGUUCAAACAGACAGCAGGCAGUACAGAGAACAGAGCCUCCAGCAGCAGGGCAGAAAGAGUCACAGGUAGAAAUUCAAGAAAGACAAGAACAAAAAUCUUUUACAGUUUAAGAAUCUCAUUUACCUCAAAGUUCUUUCUCCAAUACUGUUUCUAAACUCUAAUAUUCUGGACAGACACCAGUUUUUUUAAAUAUGAUUUUAAAAAUGUGAGACACAAUUGAAACACAGGUCCAAAUGUUAUCCAGGGCAAGAUCAAGUUUGGUGAUUAUCUUACUAGAAAACACAUGGAUAAAGUGUAGUUUAAAUAGUCAUGUCUCUGAUACCUCCACCAAACAACAUUUGAUGUAUCCUGUCAUUUAUUGUGAAACUGCCAGCUACUUAUACAUUUAGCGAACCAUUAUUUCUGGAAUUUAGUGCAGACAUUGUUCUAUAGGCUAACACUUCAGUAGUCUGAUGAACACAGUGCUUCCCCCUACUCUGCCUUCCUACAGGCCCUUUGCCCUACCCCUAACGCCUACUCCAGUUUCUGCACAACCAGUGGCCUUUUCCAAAUAAGGAUCACAUUCCAAGGUCACAAGCAUGAAAAUAAAUUUUUUGGUAUUUGGAAAUGCUGUGAGAUUUUAAAAGACAAAAAAUCUUCUAAGAGUCAAUUAUGAAGAGUUCUAUUUUAAAUUAAAAAACUGGCUUUAAAGGAAAAACACAAAUUAAACUCUAGUAUUAUGAGGCAAAUGGAGUCCCUGCUUAUAAAACCCUUUUUUUAAAAUAAUAAAUUUAUUUUUUAUUAGUGUUUUGACAAGGGGCCCCCAAGGGGCUUAGUCAGUUAAGCGUCCGACUCUUGAUUUCGGCUCAGGUCAUGAUCUCAGGGUUGUAACAUCGAUCCCCACUUCAGAUUCUCUCUCUCCCUCUCUGCCCCUUCUCCCAGUCAAGCUCACUCUCUCUCUCUUUCUCUCUUACAUAAAUAAAUGAAAUCUUUAAAAAAAAGAAAGCAAUGAUGUAAAAAAAAAUAUUUCGACAAAGGUGUUCCUUAAAGGAAAAGUCUAGUAUUUAUUUCAGGAAAAUUUACAACGAUCUGUUUACAGACCUAAAUAUUCCAAGCUCUUACUAACUAUGCAUCUUCAACAGUUCCAAUUUGGAAAUCCCUUUCUUGCUAUUUUUUUCAGCAUGGCCUUUCUAUAAAUGGCAAGCAAGCAUACUUAUAGAAAUUAGUCAUAACUACUCCAUGAAAUGCUCUGUUGUUCCUUAGAACUGGGGGAAGGUUCAUGAUAUGUUAAUUUUGGAAAUUCUAAGACAUUAUGAGAUGCUACGAGACCAUUUCAUGUAGCUUAGUCUCUCAGCAGGGGUAUCGAUACAGUCUGCUUUCUGUGAAGAAGACAUCAGCCACCGCAGACUAAUAUUAGCUUAAAAGAAUUGAAAUAUCUUUGAUGUAAACAAACAUGUGCAACCACACAGUCAGUAAACAUUUUAUAGACAAGAAGACAAAUCAAAUGACAUUCAUUUGGCCUUUAUAGAAGAUGCAUUUGGGGCAUUUUUCAUUUUAUAAAGGAGAAAUGAAUCCAAACAUUGUUCAUAAGGGAACACUAAAGCUCUAAAAGUACAUAAGAGAGCCAAGUCAGACUUUUUAAUAUUUAUAUGUUCUUUUAGGGAAAUUGUUCUGGUUCUUGCAGAUGAUUAAUAAUACCUGCUGCAUUUGCAUAAUUCAUAGCUUUAAAUAAUUAACAGGAUUAUAAUUAUAUUCAUAAUUCUUUAUCAAUUGAAGUUAAUAACUUUGGUCUGCUGUAAUGUGCUAUGUUAUUGAACUAAAAUCUGUACUUCAAAACAAUGAUUCUAGUUAAUAUUAGCAACACACAUUACAUAUCUAAACCUUUCUUUAUACACCCCAAUGAUAAAUGAGUAUAGAGUGUAAAUCCCUCAAUAUUCAAUGAGAAGAAUAAAGGCAUUUGAACAUCUGGAAAUUUGUCUAUAUUAAAGUAUAAAUACAAAUAUCUGUAUCUAUAGAUCUCUAUCUAUAAUAAAUAUAUAGAGAUAUAAAACAUACAUCUUUUUUUUUGCAAAGAGAUGAUAUAUUUAUUUCAGGAUAAGUGGUAGGUAAGAAACAGUAUAUAUAUAUAUAUAUAUAUAUAUAUAUAUAUAUAUAUAUAUAUAUAUACUUUUUUUUUUGUUUCAAAAUAAUAAGGAUAUACAAGAUGCAACAGUUUGUUUACAACCUACCUGGAGAUGGGUCACUUGUGGACCUUUUGUGAAAAGGCAUAUUUACCUCAAGACUUGGCCAAUUUGUUAAAAAGGAAUAUUCUUUUUUUAAAAAAUAUGCAUAUAUGGAGUAACUAAAUUAUUAUACUAAAAAUACAAAUAAUACAGAAAUAGAUAGAAAGACUUCAAUUUCUAUCCCCCAUUUCUACUUCCACCAACAAUAAAGUCUAGAAGUAUUUAGUGUGAUGUUUUGAUUUAUUCAUUUAUUAGCUAUAAUGGCCUUGCCUAAGACUGGAAUUCAAAAGCAAAAUGUGCUUUAAAUUUAGAAUAUGUUGGGGCGCCUAGCUAACUCAGUUGGAAAAGCGUGCAACUCUUGAUCUCAGGGUUUUGAGUUCGAGCCCCACAUUGGGUGUAGAGAUCACUUAAAAAUAAAAUCUUUUAAAAAAUGUACAACAUGGAAUGAAAAUUAGUGUGUGCUCCCUGAGGAAACAAAGCUGAAACUAAGGUUAUCUGUUUGUUCUCAAAACGUGGAGGAGGGGGGCACCUGGAUGGUUCAGUGUUUGAGCAUCUACCUUCAGCUCAGGUCAUGAUCCCAGGGCCCUGGGAUCGAGUUCCUCAUCAGGUUCACUGCAGGAAGCCUGCUUCUCCCUCUGCCUAUGGCUCUGCCUCUCUCUGUGUGUCUCUCAAGAAAAAUAAAUAAAAUCUUAAAAAAAACAUGUAGGAAUUACAAGAACAACAGAAAUCUUCCACAUAACUCAGUCUCCUUUCAAAUACCUUAUAAUGCAUCUUGGAUGUUUCUUUAAAGCAAUAUUAUUAAGAUAUUUUCAAGAGAAAAAUAAUCUACCAGUGUAAACUGUAUUUAAAAAUGCAUAGAGCCUAUUUUAGCGGCCUAACAGUUUUAUAAUAUUUUUGUUGAAAUGACUUCUUAAGUACAAAAGUCUUAAUUGCUUAUUACAAAAGACUAAAUAUUUUAUAUCAAUGUAUUAAAUUAAAAAAAUGUGACCUGCCAUAACUACAAUAGUCCAGCAUAUUGAAGAUAAUCUGAGUCAAAUUACCAACCAUUAUUAUGUUCUGCAAGAACACAUAAGGUCUAUAAUAACAUUGAAUCAGUGAUUAAAUAAAUAUUUUCUUCCUUCCCAGAGAAGCUCACUACUUUAAAAAUGGAUUACAAUACAGAGAAUAUCACCUAAAUUAUUCAUUUUAAUUAAGUCAUUUCCUGAUUUUUCUCCUAGCAGACACAGUGAAUUAAGAAAUUAUCCAUGUAAGUUUUGCUUCCUAAGUAUGCUCUAAUUCUGUAAAAAUGGAUUAUUCUAUUCUCUGCCUCCAAUUGGUAAACCACAUAAAGUCCAAAAUAAAGAUCAUAAGUCUAGGUUUAUUAUUUUAAUGUAGUUGAUAUUUUAAUUCAAAGACAUCAAGAUGUUCUGAAAAUGUUCUAAUAUAUUUACUGCUGUAAUAUUGAC
rnacentral:lncRNA from 1 species